UGACCCCAGCCAGGACUCGAACCUGGACCUUCUGCCUGCAGAGCUACUGUGAUAACAACUACAUCACCACAGCC